rnacentral:lncRNA from 1 species
UUGAAUAUCUAUUCAAGAGCCCUAUCAGAAAGGCCACCACUGUGCAAUUCCUCGUUAGUAUAGUGCUAUAAGUACCAAAACCGAAAUAAAACAUUAACAUCUGAGAAGCGAAUUAUGACACGUGCACUGACCACAGUGGCAAUAAUAGAACAGCGGCAAGUCUACUGUGAAAAUCAAAGGAAUGUUGAAAGAUGCUUGGCAAUUUAAUUCUAAACAACUUUUAAGGAGACCUGAG